AGUGAACGCUGGCGGUAGGCCUAACACAUGCAAGUCGAACGGCAGCACAGUAAGAGCUUGCUCUUACGGGUGGCGAGUGGCGGACGGGUGAGGAAUACAUCGGAAUCUACUUUUUCGUGGGGGAUAACGUAGGGAAACUUACGCUAAUACCGCAUACGACCUACGGGUGAAAGCAGGGGAUCUUCGGACCUUGCGCGAUUGAAUGAGCCGAUGUCGGAUUAGCUAGUUGGCGGGGUAAAGGCCCACCAAGGCGACGAUCCGUAGCUGGUCUGAGAGGGUGAUCAGCCACACUGGAACUGAGACACGGUCCAGACUCCUACGGUAGGCAGCAGUGGGGAAUAUUGGACAAUGGGCGCAAGCCUGAUCCAGCCAUACCGCGUGGGUGAAGAAGGCCUUCGGGUUGUAAAGCCCUUUUGUUGGGAAAGAAAAGCAGCAGGUUAAUACCCCGCUGUUCUGACGGUACCCAAAGAAUAAGCACCGGCUAACUUCGUG
rnacentral:rRNA from 1 species